rnacentral:rRNA from 1 species
AUUGCCUUAGUAGCGGCGAGUGAAGCGGCAAAAGCUCAAAUUUGAAAUCUGGCACCUUCGGUGUCCGAGUUGUAAUUUGAAGAUUGUAACCUUGGGGUUGGCUCUYGUCUAUGUUUCUUGGAACAGGACGUCACAGAGGGUGAGAAUCCCGUGCGAUGAGAUGCCCAAUCCUAUGUAAGGUGCUUUCGAAGAGUCGAGUUGUUUGGGAAUGCAGCUCUAAGUGGGUGGUAAAUUCCAUCUAAAGCUAAAUAUUGGCGAGAGACCGAUAGCGAACAAGUACAGUGAUGGAAAGAUGAAAAGAACUUUGAAAAGAGAGUGAAAAAGUACGUGAAAUUGUUGAAAGGGAAGGGUUUGAGAUCAGACUCGAUAUUUUGUGAGCCUUGCCUUCGUGGCGGGGUGACCCGCAGCUUAUCGGGCCAGCAUCGGUUUGGGCGGUAGGAUAAUGGCGUAGGAAUGUGACUUUGCUUCGGUGAAGUGUUAUAGCCUGCGUUGAUGCUGCCUGCCUAGACCGAGGACUGCGAUUUUAUCAAGGAUGCUGGCAUAAUSAUCCC